rnacentral:rRNA from 1 species
AGCAGCCACUCAUUAAAAGAGUGCGUAAUAGCUCACUGGUCGAGUGACUCUGCGCGGAAAAUAUAACGGGGCUAAGCAUGAAACCGAAGCUUGGGCUUGUCUUAGGACAGGGGUAGGGGAGCGUCGAGUAUGGGGUGAAGUCAGAGCGAGAGCACUGGUGGACUGUACUGGAGUGAGAAUGCCGGAAUGAGUAGCGAGAAUUAUGUGGGAAUCAUAAUGGCCGAAAAUCUAAGGUUUCUUGGGGAAGGUUCGUCCGCCCAAGGUAAGCCGGGAGCUAAGGCGAGGCCGCGAGGCGUAGUCGAUGCACAUACGGUAGAAAUUCCGUAGCCACCGAACUUUAAACCAGAAGGACACUUUCAGAUAGCGGGACCCAGCCGUUGGUAGAGCUGGGCGCAAGGGACCGAAAUAUAGUAGGGAAGUCCGCGAUGCUGGGAGGCGAGAAAAGCUCUGGUGAAUACUAAGGUGCCCGUACCGCAAACCGACACAGGUAGAUGAGGAGAGAAUCCUAAGGCCAACGGGAGAAGGGUUGUUAAGGAACUCGGCAAAUUGACCCCGUAACUUCGGAAGAAGGGGAGCCUCGAAAGAGGCCGCAGUGAAUAGGCCCAAGCAACUGUUUACCAAAAACACAGGUCUAUGCUAAAUCGAAAGAUGACGUAUAUGGGCUGACGCCUGCCCGGUGCCGGAAGGUUAAGAGGAGAGCUUAGCGCAAGCGAAGGUUUGAAUUGAAGCCCCGGUAAACGGCGGCCGUAACUAUAACGGUCCUAAGGUAGCGAAAUUCCUUGUCAGGUAAGUUCUGACCCGCACGAAUGGCGUAAUGAUUUGGGCACUGUCUCAACAGCCCGCCCGGCGAAAUUGUAGUACUGGUGAAGAUGCCAGUUACCCGCAACUAGACGGAAAGACCCCAUGGAGCUUUACUGCAGCUUAAUACUGAGAUUCGGUAAUUCAUGUACAGGAUAGGUGGGAGACUUAGAAGCAGAGUCGUUAGGCGCUGUGGAGUCACCCUUGGGAUACCACCCUUGGAUUGCUGGGUUUCUAACCUGCGGCCAUGAAUCUGGUCGGGGGACACUGUUAGGCGGGCAGUUUGACUGGGGCGGUCGCCUCCUAAAGUGUAGCGGAGGCGCUCAAAGCUUGGCUCAGCAUGGAUGGAAAUCAUGCAAUGAGUGUAAACGUAUAAGCCAAGUUGACUGCGAGACCGACGGGUCGAGCAGGUACGAAAGUAGGAGUUAGUGAUCCGGUGGUAUGUGAGUGGAAAUGCCAUCGCUCAACGGAUAAAA